UCCGGUUUGUCACCGGCAGUCACCUUAGAGUGCCCAACUGAAUGCUGGCAACUAAGAUCAAGGGUUGCGCUCGUUGCGGGACUUAACCCAACAUCUCACGACACGAGCUGACGACAACCAUGCACCACCUGUCACUUAUGUCCCCGAAGGGAAAUCCCUAUCUCUAGGGAGGGCAUAAGGAUGUCAAGACCUGGUAAGGUUCUUCGCGUUGCUUCGAAUUAAACCACAUGCUCCACUGCUUGUGCGGGCCCCCGUCAAUUCCUUUGAGUUUCAACCUUGCGGUCGUACUCCCCAGGCGGAGUGCUUAAUGUGUUAACUUCGGCACUAAGGGCAUCGAAACCCCUAACACCUAGCACUCAUCGUUUACGGCGUGGACUAC
rnacentral:misc_RNA from 1 species